CUAAAAUGCCCUCAAUUAAAAACCUAAAAUGAAGACCAUCAUCUUCGCCUCUCUUCUUCGUCUGCCUCCUCCUCCUCUUCUUCCCCGUGAACUAUUUGAAGGAAUGUGCCCUUAGUACUGAGGAUGUUGGGAAAUUCCUACCAUUUAGGCCCCAGCUGAUGGUUUGUGUAAUAGAAGAAAGAUGGAAGCCCCUAGUUAAGUACUUGUAUUACCUUGGUAUCACCCGAGAGGGUAUGAGGAGGAUGCUUACUAUUAAACCAAUCGUUUUCUGUGCUAGUUUGGAGGAGACCAUUGUGCCAAAUGUAUGGCAGAAACUCGUGUGCUUCAAUUUUGAUGUUCAUAUGUACUUGUAAUGGAACAACUUGAGCAAUCUAGCUUAGUUCUCUUAGGUAUUUUGUGUUCCCUCCAGUCUCAACUAGCCUAUGUAGUUCUCAUUAGUAUUCAUAUUCACAUGCAUAAUGCAUUAAUGCAGUUAUUCAUGUGUAUUUUUACUGUCAUGUAGGUAAAAUAUAGUUAUGCAUAAAUAUAGUUGCAGUACAAUUGCUAUUGUAUAUCUUUUCUCAA